CACUCCUACGGGAGGCAGCAGUGGGGAAUAUUGCACAAUGGGCGCAAGCCUGAUGCAGCCAUGCCGCGUGUAUGAAGAAGGCCUUCGGGUUGUAAAGUACUCUCAGCGGGGAGGAAGGCGAUAAGGUUAAUAACCUUGUUGAUUGACGUUACCCGCAGAAGAAGCACCGGCUAACUCCGUGCCAGCAGCCGCGGUAAUACGGAGGGUGCAAGCGUUAAUCGGAAUUACUGGGCGUAAAGCGCACGCAGGCGGUCUGUCAAGUCGGAUGUGAAAUCCCCGGGCUCAACCUGGGAACUGCAUUCGAAACUGGCAGGCUAGAGUCUUGUAGAGGGGGGUAGAAUUCCAGGUGUAGCGGUGAAAUGCGUAGAGAUCUGGAGGAAUACCGGUGGCGAAGGCGGCCCCCUGGACAAAGACUGACGCUCAGGUGCGAAAGCGUGGGGAGCAAACAGGAUUAGAUACCCGUGUAGUCCCA
rnacentral:rRNA from 1 species